ensembl:lncRNA
AGUAGGUAGUUGCAGAGAGAUGUAUGGGUUAUAGGUGGGUAGUUGUAGGUGGAUGUAUGGGGUUAUAUGUGGGUAGUUGUAGGUGGAUGUAUGGGGUUAUAGGUGGUAAGUUUUAGGUGGAUGUAUGGGGUUGUAGGUGGGUGGCUGUAGGUGGAUGUAUGGGGUUAUAGGUGAGUAGGUGUAGGUGGAUGUAUGGGGUUAUAGGUGGUAAGUUUUAGGUGGAUGUAUGGGGUUGUAGGUGGGUAGGUGUAGGUGGAUGUAUGGGGUUAUAGGUGGUAAGUUUUAGGUGGAUGUAUGGGGUUGUAGGUGGAUAGUUGUAGGUGGAUGUAUGGGGUUGUAGGUGGAUAGUUGUAGGUGGAUGUAUGGGGGUGUAGGUGGAUAGGUGUCGGUGGAUGUAUGGGGUUAUAGGUGGGUAGGUGUAGGUGGAUGUAUGGGGUUAUAGGUGGGUAGGUGUCGGUGGAUGUAUGGGGGUUUAGGUGGGUAAUCGUAGGUGGGAUGUAUGAGGGGUAAGUGAUUGGUUGUGGUGGAUGAUGGUAGAGUGUAGUUGAACUGUGUGGGGCUGUUUGGCCAUUCUGCUGGGCGUAGGGGGAUAUUGGCAUUGCACUGUAAAUUAUAUGGGAUUGCUGGACAUAGCAUACAUCUUACACAAGGUCAUGUCACUGGGUGUAGGGUGAUUUGGACUGUUUGGAUAGGAUUGCUGGGUAUGGUGUACUGCUCUCCUCACACGGCUGAGAACCACUCUCUCUCUCUCUUCAGUAAUGUAAUGAGCGCAGAGCCUC